rnacentral:lncRNA from 1 species
UUUCCACAUGCAAGUAUCUUGAGGUCUGAUCCAGUGCUCAGCUGAGUCAAGAGAAAGACUUCUGUUUUCUUCGUUAGGCCACAAGACAGACAGCAUCUGAGUAGUCAUUAUCUCCCGCAGAAGUACACAAACUGGAAAUAGGUGUUUCCUCAGUGCCUGAAUUUUGAAGUCUGGAGUGUGGAUUCUUCAAUAGAUGUGGCAGCAUGUGGGUAUUCUCUCCCGUUUUAGAACUCAAGUUGCUAUAACAACCCACAGCAUCUGCUCAAUACGGACUCCUUGUGAAAGAGGAGCUGUCACUGCUGGAGACCCCAGCUGCAGUGGCAGUGCAUCAUGGAGAGAGCAGACCAGCUGUUAUGUCCUACAUACAGAAGAGAAUGGAAAUGCAGCUGUGGAUCCCGGGAAGUGGACAGGAGGCUGGCCUUAAUGGAAAUAUUUCUGGUUUAGAAUAAAA